rnacentral:tRNA from 2 species
AGGGACGUGGUGAAAUGGUAUCACAGCAGUCUCCAAAACUGCUUUUCUCAGUUCGAAUCUGAGCGUCCCUGCCA